UCGCUGAGAACAAAGGGAGGUUGUGUAUGUUGUUUGUGUGUAAUCAAAUUGUUUGUGUUUUUCUGGGGUGCCGCCUCAAGGUCAAACGUGUUGCAAUUUAAAUAUAGAUAUUAGAAGAUGUUAGCUUGAAAUGUGGUUAGUGUUAAGGGGGAAUAUGCGGCGAACGGCUGUUGAAUGCCUUCAUCAAACCUUAUUGGUAUUGCUAUCUGAUGCUGAGCAUGAGGCGGUCUAUGGACCUGAGACUUUUAGGGAACAGUGUCAAAACAUUGUCCAAACGUAUGAGUUGGGGAUUGAACUAUGUAGACUCUUUUUAAAUUACAAAAUAUGCGUUGAUUGCCUUAUAAACGGACUGAACGAGACUCAGUUGGGUGAAUACAUAAUACGGUGAUGAAGAAAGUUACAUUUGACGAUAGUAACAAUCGCGUGUAUGUACUGAUCGCGUGGUCCUUUGCAUAUAGUGCGGCACGAAAAGGGCCUUGGGAAACUAUGGCCUUGGAUAGAUUUCGCUUUAGUACAAAAAUAGAGCAAUUUUGUAAGAUAUUGUCUCCCGUCUUAGCAGAAAAUCAUCGUUUAUCAGUUUAUCUGACUAGAUUUCAAGGUCACCAGAACUCAAUGUAAUGGUCAACAGACAGCAAUAUAAUGGUGGUAGAAACGGUGAAUGGAAUCAGUCGAAUAGUGUUCGCUAAUCAGUUAAAAUGGAUCUUAAUCAACUCAACAGUAGCACCUACUGCAAACCUUUCAAGAACGUCAAGGAUAUGAAGGUCGGUGAAAAGUAUAAA